UAGAGGAAGUAAAAGUCGUAACAAGGUUUCCGUAGGUGAACCUGCGGAAGGAUCAUUAAAAGUAUAUAGUUAUACAUUCUGUGUAUCGACUAAAUAUACCCAUUCUGAGUACCUUGCCUGUUGCUUCCAUGGAGCCUGACACAUGUCACUCUGGGGAUUUACAUCCCGAGGGAGCCUCCGUGGAAGGUAAUCAAUUAACUCUUGAAUCCAAUGUCAUCUGUCUGAUAAUGUUUAUAACAAAUGUUAAAACUUUCAACAACGGAUCUCUUGGUUCUCGCAUCGAUGAAGAACGCAGCGAAAUGCGAUAAGUAGUGUGAAUUGCAGAAUUCAGUGAAUCAUCGAAUCUUUGAACGCACAUUGCGCCUCCUGGUAUUCCGGGAGGCAUGCCUGUUCGAGCGUCAUUAAAUACCACUCAAGCUCUUCUGCUUGGUCAUGGAAGAAGAGAAUGCUUGCAUCCUCUCUUCUGAAAUCGAACGGCGGACUGCCUCAUGUGCCUCGCGUAGUAAGUUCAUCUUUUCGCUUGGAGUGUGAGAUAGUCUCGCCAUCAACCCCCAUACUUCUAAGGUUGACCUCGGAUCAGGUAGGGAUACCCGCUGAACUUAAGCAUAUCAAUAA
rnacentral:rRNA from 1 species